UUUGGUUCUUAUUGCGAUGUGGAGACACCUGUUCCCAUCCCGAACACAGUCGUUAAGCACAUUUGCGCCGAUGGUACUGUUCUGGCAACGGAAUGGAAGAGUAGGUAUUAGCCAAUU
rnacentral:rRNA from 1 species